UUGACGCGGCGGUGCCAGCGGCGCCAGAUCUUGGUGGGGGCGAACAUGCGACCGCCUCGGCACAUGUUGCCGAAUGCUCCCUGGCCGGCGCGGUGGGUGCCGCCGCCGGGUACACGGGGGAUACGCGAGACGGCACGGCCAGUUCCCCAGGACUCGGCGGAGGUCUGAUGCCCUGCGCGCUUGGAGACGGCGUAGGGCUGGCGGGCGUUUUUGGAGAGAUUGGAGUGGACGAAGCGAACGACAUCUGGGCGGAUCGAGGAUUUCAUGACGUCGGGGAGGGGGAGGGAGGAGGCAGCGUUGGUUUCCAUGUCACCGUCGAGGGCUUGGAUGGUGACGAGGGGGCGGACGGCGGCGGUGGCCAUUGGUGGAGCUGCGGCGGCGCUAGGGUUAGGGUUUG
rnacentral:misc_RNA from 1 species